GGGCGGUGAGUUACGUAAACUACGAAGGGCAACUAACUCAAAGUGAUAUAACAAAUAUUGCAUGACCGUUGCCUUGAAAGAUAUAAAAGCACUGUCAUCGAUUGCCAGGAGCAGGGUUGGGCACUCCUGCCCUAUACAGACAAAACAGGAUUAAAAUGUCCAGGGGGGGUCCUCAUACAUUUGUCCUGCUGCUGAUGCCACCCUGCUGUGACUGUCCCACCCUGACUGAGCUGUUGUAUAAGAAUAUCCACCCCAGUGGAUCUUCUGCAGUGAAUGGGUGCUGUCAGAAUGAGAGUCAGAUGUCUGAAUAAGGUGCAGAAUAGUCCCUUUAAGCCCAGAUGUGCUGUUGAUUCCAGCAGGAGGAUGAUGGAAGAGAGCGGUUGAGACACUGUGAUUCCCUUCUUGCAUAUUCAUGGAUGGGUUUCAGACACUUCAAUUAUUCAGCUGGAUGGAUUUUCUUAAGGAACUGUCACAUGAACUGUCCACCUUGAACUGAAGGAAACGCUUGAGCUACUUUGCUGUAGAGCCACAAUCUGUGCACCGAGGAGACAGAAUCACACAACCCACUGAGCCCAGACCUUCACAAACAGCUGCUUGUAGUGCCACUUCAUGUAUUUUGGUGGGAAGGGGGUGGAAGCUGCUCCCUGCACAUCUCAUUGUGCCAGAAAGUGUUAUCAGUUCAAUGUUAAUGCGUGUGUCUUGACACAUCACUUUAUCAUUGUGUGUAAAUCAAUGAGAAACUGAUGCUGAAUUUAAAUGAGACAUCUCAUUUUUCCCCCUCUUUUGGAAAGUAAAGUAAAUGCUAUUUGUAAUUGGGGCAAUUGGGAAUGCAAAAACUAUAUUUUUAGAAUUAUAUAAUUCACUGCUAUAUAAUUUUACCCAUGAAAGAUGACUUUCACUUCUGAAGAAAUUGAGCAAGGAUUCAAUUAUCAAACUGAUCAAAAGUGACAGCCAAGACUAAACUGUACAAAUUAUUUUUGAUGUAUC